rnacentral:rRNA from 1 species
AUUGAACGCUGGCGGCAGGCCUAACACAUGCAAGUCGAACGAGUGGCGGACGGGUGAGUAAUGUCUGGGCAACUGCCUGAUGGAGGGGGAUAACUACUGGAAACGGUAGCUAAUACCGCAUCCCAUCAGAUGUGCCCAGAUGGGAUUAGCUUGUUGGUGGGGUAACGGCUCACCAAGGCGACGAUCCCUAGCUGGUAUGAGAGGAGGACCAGCCACACUGGAACUGAGCAACGGCCCAGACUCCUACGGGAGGCAGCAGUGGGGAAUAUUGCACAAGGGGCGCAAGCCGGAUGCAGCCAGGCCGCGUGUAUGAAGAAGGCCUUCGGGUUGUAAAGUACGUUCAGCGGGGAGGCGGUACCCGCAGAAGAAGCACCGGCUAACUCCGUGCCAGCAGCCGCGGUAAUUC